GACCCGAGGUUCAGGGCCCCAU
rnacentral:rRNA from 1 species